GAGUUUGAUCUUGGCUCAGAUUGAACGCUGGCGGCAGGCCUAAUACAUGCAAGUCGAACGCACCUUCGGGUGAGUGGCGGACGGGUGAGUAACGCGUGGGAACGUGCCCUUUGGUUCGGAACAACACAGGGAAACUUGUGCUAGUACCGAAUGUGCCCUUCGGGGGAAAGAUUUAUCGCCAUUGGAGCGGCCCGCGUUGGAUUAGCUAGUUGGCGGGGUAAAGGCCCACCAAGGCGACGAUCCGUAGCUGGUCUGAGAGGAUGAUCAGCCACACUGGAACUGAGACACGGUCCAGACUCCUACGGGAGGCAGCAGUGGGGAAUAUUGGACAAUGGGCGCAAGCCUGAUCCAGCCAUGCCGCGUGUGUGAAGAAGGCC
rnacentral:rRNA from 1 species